rnacentral:sRNA from 1 species
AAAGUGUGCUAAAGGAAACCAACAGUGGCGUAGGGGUGAAAGGACAGCCAGGGUUAGAUGUUCUGAGGAGGCGGGAGCAACCGAGAGAGCACGUGAGCAUCUGUCCUUUCUAGCCGUUCCUCUUUAUCUUUAGUGUUCGGUAGCAGCGGGGAUAGCCCGGGGCCCGGUGUAUGGCCACGGAGUUACAGUGUCCGGACUCCAUGCCCUGUCACAACCAGCAAGUAAACUCUGCCUCAACCCCAAGUCCCGAGCAGCUGCGACCUGGAGAUCCGAUCCUGGACCACGCAGGGGGAAACAGAGCCUCCAGGGCCAAGGUGAUUCUCCUCACGGGGCACGCCCAUUCUAGCCUGCCGGCCGAGCUGGACUCUGGGGCCUGCGGCGGCUCCAGCCUCAACUCAGAGGGCAACAGUGGUAGUGGUGACAGUAGCAGCUAUGACGCACCAGCUGGCAACUCCUUCCUAGAGGACUGCGAACUCUCCCGGCAGAUCGGGGCGCAGCUUAAGCUGCUGCCUAUGAAUGAUCAGAUCCGGGAGCUGCAGACCAUCAUCCGGGACAAGACAGCCAGUAGAGGUGACUUCAUGUUUUCUGCGGAUCGUUUGAUCAGACUUGUUGUGGAAGAGGGAUUGAAUCAGCUGCCAUAUAAAGAAUGCAUGGUGACCACUCCAACAGGGUACAAGUAUGAAGGAGUGAAGUUUGAGAAGGGAAAUUGUGGGGUCAGCAUAAUGAGAAGCGGUAGGUUCACGUGUGUGUGAUUUUUGUCUCUUUGUAUGCAUAGAAAUUGUUGCUGUUUUCCAGAAGAGAGGCAGGCUUGUCUGUCAUAAUUGCAGCCUGCCUUUAGUUAAAUCUCACCACCUGUGUUAUCUAGCCUCAUGGUGCUGUGGAGUCAUGGCUUGUGUGAGGCUAGGUUUGGCUAAUUUUAACUACAGAGCAUAUUCCCUAAUAAAGUGCUCCCAUGGGCAAGCCAGCUUUC